UAUCCUCCAUUUCUCGCGCGAAAGUAGUGCCACCAGUGGCGCUACAGCAAAAUAUACAUCUGUCCCUGUGUUAAAUGGUCUUCCCUCCACAUGCGUAUAAACGCAUACUCUGGUGAAUGCACGAAUUCGGAGGUUUCUGGACAAAGGGUGAGCAGAGAAGGGAGGUGUUACGCUUCGUCUGGUCCUCCGUGAGAUUGCACACCGUGACCAACAAACUACCACGGUUUACGGGAUAUAACUCGGGAGGAACGAGCUCGACAAGAGGGAAACGGAAAAUGCGGGAAAAUGGAGAUGGUCAGGAAAGAAUAGUGUAUGUGAGAACAGGGAAACGUACUGGUUCAAGAGGUACAUACAUAGUAUGUGUCACAAGUGCUGGUAUCUUGAAUUUUCAAAAUAAACAAUGUUUUCAACAGAAGAGACACUUGUUCAACCAAAUUGAAAACCACAAGAUUUCUACUAAAUUUACUAAGUAAAUUUUUACUAAAAAUUUGGUUAGAAUUGAUAACCUUAAAAAAUUUGCUUGGUAAAAAAUACAUGGAUAUACUCGCACAAAAUCACUAUUUUUAACGAGAAUAUAGAGAACUAGUAUACGUUUAGGAAACCACGAUUAUUAAACAUUCCAAUUAAAACGAAUCAAUAAGGUUAAUUAGUUCGCAUAAUUCUAGCUGAAUAUGGCGCGCUACGAAAUGCGUGCGGUAAGUUAUCGUGGAAUGCAAUUUAUAUUUAGGUAGGUAACUUUACUGGAACGGUGUAAUUCAUCUCCGUUGCAACUGUGAUAUCAGUGGUUGGCUUUUCGUUUGUCAUAUAAUAGUGGAAAGUGGAAAUCCAAGGAUUUAUGCCCCAGAUGGACAUGUUGAUUGUAUCUUGUGGAAAUCCCACUUUCACUCUCAUCGAGUAACGUGUUCUAACUGGCUCUUCGAGUCUGGCCUGGAAUUGUUGAUCACCUUCGUCGGUCACUGGAAGUAAUAAGUAAAUACGUGCGGUAUUUCGUACACAAAGCGAAGGCAUUCCGCCUCCAGUACAAGUUUAAGGACUUUAUGUGGCAAAUUCCUCGCAUCUAGAGAUGUUUAGCCACGAUAAUCAUUAAACCGAGCAUGAAAUUGCAUAAUUUUCUGUGUACAUUACGAAAAUUACGAUUGGAAACGUAAUUGAAAAUGAUUGACGAAUAACAAAAAGUUUUAAUAAAAAAAAUCGGAUUUUAAUAAUUUAAAAAAAAUAUAUAUAUAAUUUGAAAAAAAGAGUAUUUAUAAUGAAUUGAUGCGAGAAAUGACUAGAAAUUAAGAUUUCCUCGCUUAUUGAUCGAUUUAUCUGAUCACAACUUAUUAUUCUACUCGUUUGACCAAACGAUUAGCAAUAUAAUCUACCAUUAGCCGAACUAAUGGUUGACCUAUACCUCUUGUCUGGCCCAGCAAAUGCUAUUUAUCUGAUCAAAUGAUCGAUAUAUUAUCGGCCCGACCAAAGGUUAACCUAUACUACUUGAUUGACCAAAUGAUUGAAGAUGCAAUAUUGGUUAAUAUCCAACUCUGAUUUAAAAAUAUAAAAGUAGCGAGAGUGGUUGACUUGUUCUAUUUAUUCGGUUAUGCAAUUAAGGAUAUGAAAUUGGUUUAGCAAAUAGUUGACCUGUACUACUUGGUAAGAAUACUUGUAUUUGCUUGAAAAUAGUACAGAAUGAAAUUCAAUACAAAAUUAUAUGAAAGAGAAUA